rnacentral:rRNA from 1 species
CCUACGGGUGGCAGCAGUGGGGAAUAUUGGACAAUGGGGGGAACCCUGAUCCAGCCAUGCUGCGUGUGUGAAGAAGGCCCUCGGGUUGUAAAGCACUUUCAGUGAGGAAGAACGCCUGGUGGUUAAUACCCAUCAGGAAAGACAUCACUCACAGAAGAAGCACCGGCUAACUCCGUGCCAGCAGCCGCGGUAAUACGGAGGGUGCGAGCGUUAAUCGGAAUUACUGGGCGUAAAGCGCGCGUAGGUGGCUUGAUAAGCCGGUUGUGAAAGCCCCGGGCUCAACCUGGGAACGGCAUCCGGAACUGUCAAGCUAGGGUGCAGGAGAGGAAGGUAGAAUUCCCGGUGUAGCGGUGAAAUGCGUAGAGAUCGGGAGAAAUGCCAGUGGCGAAGGCGGCCUUCUGGACUGACACUGCCACUGAGGUGCGAAAGCGUGGGUAGCAAACAGGAUUAGAUACCCUUGUAGUC